rnacentral:rRNA from 1 species
UUGACGGGAACCCGCACAAGCGGUGGAGUAUGUUGUUAAUUCGAAGAUACACGAAGAACCUUACCAGGUCUUGACAUACCAUUGACAGGUGUAGAGAUACACUCUCCUUCGGGCAAUGGAUACAGGUGGUGCAUGGUUGUCGUCAGCUCGUGCCGUGAGGUGUUGGGUUAAGUCCCGCAACGAGCGCAACCCUCAUUGUUAGUUACUACCAUUCAGUUGAGGACUCUAAUGAGACUGCCAACGACAAGUUGGAGGAAGGUGGGGAUGACGUCAAAUCAUCAUGCCCUUUAUGACCUGGGCUACAAACGUACUACAAUGGCCAAUACAAAGAGAUGCGAAGCGGUGACGUGAAGCGAACCUCAGAAAGUUGGUCUCAGUUCAGAUUGAAGUCUGCAACUCGACUUCAUGAAGGCGGAAUCGCUAGUAAUCGCGGGUCAGCAGACCGCGGUGAAUACGUUCCCGGGUCUU